GAUGAACGUUAGCGGCAGGCUUAACACAUGCAAGUCGAGGGGUAGAAGUCUUCGGGCUUUGAGACCGGCGCACGGGUGCGUAACGCGUAUGCAAUCUGCCUUCCACAAAGGAAUAGCCCAGAGAAAUUUGGAUUAAUGCCUUAUAGCAUUACGACUUGGCAUCAAGAUGUAAUUAAAGAUUUAUCGGUGGAAGAUGAGCAUGCGUCCCAUUAGCUAGUUGGUAAGGUAACGGCUUACCAAGGCGAUGAUGGGUAGGGGUCCUGAGAGGGAGAUCCCCCACACUGGUACUGAGACACGGACCAGACUCCUACGGGAGGCAGCAGUGAGGAAUAUUGGUCAAUGGGCGCAAGCCUGAACCAGCCAUGCCGCGUGCAGGAUGAAGCAUCUAUGGCGUGUAAACUGCUUUUAUACAGGAAGAAACAACUCUACGUGUAGAGUCUUGACGGUACUGUAGGAAUAAGGAUCGGCUAACUCCGUGCCAGCAGCCGCGGUAAUACGGAGGAUCCAAGCGUUAUCCGGAAUCAUUGGGUUUAAAGGGUCCGUAGGCGGCCCUGUAAGUCAGUGGUGAAAUCUCCCCGCUCAACGGGGAAACGGCCAUUGAUACUGCAGGGCUUGAAUUAUUGGGAAGUAACUAGAAUAUGUAGUGUAGCGGUGAAAUGCUUAGAUAUUACAUGGAAUACCAAUUGCGAAGGCAGGUUACUAUCAAUAUAUUGACGCUGAUGGACGAAAGCGUGGGUAGCGAACAGGAUUAGAUACCCUGGUAGUCCACGCCGUAAACGAUGGAUACUAGCUGUUCGGGGCAACCUGAGUGGCUAAGCGAAAGUGAUAAGUAUCCCACCUGGGGAGUACGUUCGCAAGAAUGAAACUCAAAGGAAUUGACGGGGGCCCGCACAAGCGGUGGAGCAUGUGGUUUAAUUCGAUGACACGCGAGGAACCUUACCAAGGCUUAAAUGUAGAUUGACAGGACCGGAAACGGUUUUUUCUUCGGACAAUUUACAAGGUGCUGCAUGGUUGUCGUCAGCUCGUGCCGUGAGGUGUCAGGUUAAGUCCUAUAACGAGCGCAACCCCUGUCGUUAGUUGCCAGCGAGUCAUGUCGGGAACUCUAACGAGACUGCCAGUGCAAACUGAGAGGAAGGUGGGGAUGACGUCAAAUCAUCACGGCCCUUACGCCUUGGGCUACACACGUGCUACAAUGGACGGUACAGAGAGCAGCCACUGGGCGACCAGGAGCGAAUCUACAAAACCGUUCACAGUUCGGAUCGGAGUCUGCAACUCGACUCCGUGAAGCUGGAAUCGCUAGUAAUCGGAUAUCAGCCAUGAUCCGGUGAAUACGUUCCCGGGCCU
rnacentral:rRNA from 1 species